rnacentral:snoRNA from 1 species
CUGCAGGAUUAGUUACAGUACGGCUUGUUUGGUGCUGUGUUGUCGUUCCCCCUGCAAACAGUAAUUUGUUUCCAGCUAUCCCUGUCUGCUUAAAACUAAUCUGGCAACCAGGGACGCAAGGUCUCAGACAC